rnacentral:rRNA from 1 species
UACGUAGGGGGCAAGCGUUGUCCGGAUUUAUUGGGCGUAAAGAGCAUGUAGGCGGUCUGGUAGGUCCGUUGUGAAAACUCGAGGCUCAACCUCGAGACGCCGAUGGAAACCCCCAGACUAGAGUCCGGAAGAGGAGAGUGGAAUUCCUGGUGUAGCGGUGAAAUGCGCAGAUAUCAGGAAGAACACCCGUGGCUAAGGCGGCUCUCUAGUACGGUACUGACGCUGAGACGCGAAAGCGUGGGGAGCGAACAGG